rnacentral:tRNA from 1 species
GGGCGGUUAGCUCAGCGGCUAGAGCAAUGGCUUCCAAACCCAUAGGUCCGAGGUUCGAGUCCUCGACCGCCCGC